rnacentral:sRNA from 1 species
GGCCGCAGCUCUCACAUGUUUGUUUUGCAGACGACUUAAUUUUGUUUACUGAAGCUUCGGUUACGCAAAUUCGAAUAAUCCGUUCAGUCUUGGAGAGGUUUUGUGGGGC